GCGCGCGUAGCUCAAUUGGAUUAGAGCGUCGGCCUCCGGAGCCGAAGGUUGUGGGUUCGAUCCCCGCCGCGCGUACCA
rnacentral:tRNA from 1 species